GAGGUAGGCUGAUGAGCACAAGUGCAUAGUUCAAAUGACCAAACAAUGAUUACUUGAACAAAAUAGUUUUUCGCUCCUAGCUUUCCUGUUUA